UAAGGAAUAUUGGUCAAUGGACGAAAGUCUGAACCAGCCAUGCCGCGUGAAGGAUGAAGGUCCUCUGGAUUGUAAACUUCUUUUAUCUGGGACGAAAAAAGGGAAUUCUUUCUCACUUGACGGUACCAGAAGAAUAAGCACCGGCUAACUCCGUGCCAGCAGCCGCGGUAAUACGGAGGGUGCAAGCGUUAUCCGGAUUCACUGGGUUUAAAGGGUGCGUAGGUGGGCAGUUAAGUCAGUGGUGAAAUCUCCGGGCUUAACCCGGAAACUGCCAUUGAUACUAUCUGUCUUGAAUACUCUGGAGGUAAGCGGAAUAUGUCAUGUAGCGGUGAAAUGCUUAGAUAUGACAUAGAACACCGAUUGCGAAGGCAGCUUACUACGGAGUCAUUGACAUGAGUACGA
rnacentral:rRNA from 1 species